UACGUAGGAGGCGAGCGUUGUCCGGAUUUACUGGGCGUAAAGAGCGCGCAGGCGGCUCCCCAAGUACUCUCUGAAAUCGACCUGCUCAACGGGUCGGGUGGAGAUUGUAGACUGAGGAGCUAGAGGGAGGUAGAGGGGGGUAGAAUUGCUGGUGUAGCGGUGAAAUGCGUAGAGAUCAGCAGGAAUACCCGUGGCGAAGGCGGCCCCCUGGGCCUUCCCUGACGCCGAGGCGCGAAGGCUGGGGGAGCGAACGGG
rnacentral:rRNA from 1 species